UCGCAGACGGGCACCGGGGAUCGCAUCAUUAUCAUGGGCACUGUUUUCUUUUCGCGGCGCUGCUGUUUGCUUUUCGCUCUCGCCUGGGCCGGCAGGUUGGCGGGAGGCAGCGGGGGCGCAGAUGUUGACGAGUGCGCAGAAGCUACGGAUGACUGUCACAUUGACGCAAUUUGUCAAAACACACCAAAAUCCUACAAAUGCAUCUGCAAGCCGGGCUACAAAGGGGAAGGGAAGCAGUGCGAAGGUAGGAACAGAUCGGCUUCUCUCCUGUCUCUUCUCCCCUCCCUUCUUUUAUUUGUUUGCUCUUUGAAAGCUUUUGUAAAUAGCUGAAUUCCUGAAACGAUUAAUGCAGAUUUACAGCUGCUUAACCUCAAAUCUGGGUGUUUAUUGGCAAGCAUCCCCCUGCUGCUUUUGCUAAUUGUUCGGCACCGCAAAACGUUGUGCCCGCCAGCCUGC